rnacentral:rRNA from 1 species
AGUGAACGCUGGCGGUAGGCCUAACACAUGCAAGUCGAACGGCAGCACAGUAAGAGCUUGCUCUUACGGGUGGCGAGUGGCGGACGGGUGAGGAUUACAUCGGAAUCUACUUUUUCGUGGGGGAUAACGUAGGGAAACUUACGCUAAUACCGCAUACGACCUACGGGUGAAAGCAGGGGAUCUUCGGACCUUGCGCGAUUGAAUGAGCCGAUGUCGGAUUAGCUAGUUGGCGGGGUAAAGGCCCACCAAGGCGACGAUCCGUAGCUGGUCUGAGAGGAUGAUCAGCCACACUGGAACUGAGACACGGUCCAGACUCCUACGGGAGGCAGCAGUGGGGAAUAGUGGACAAUGGGCGCAAGCAUGAUCCAGCCAUACCGCGUGGGUGAAGAAGGCCUUCGGGUUGUAAAGCCCUUUUGUUGGGAAAGAAAAGCAGCAGGUUAAUACCCCGCUGUUCUGACGGUACCCAAAGAAUAAGCACCGGCUAACUUCGUG